rnacentral:lncRNA from 1 species
UUAUGUAUCAAUGUAUAUGAAAAAAAUAUUUAUUUGGUUGAUAAUACAGGAUAAAUAUACACAGUUUUCAUUACUGCAACAGACACAGCAGUAUUUAGCCACUCUGGGAUCACAGCAGUGUUGGGAGGGCUGAUUCUCAGUUUUGCCUCAGAAUGAAAAAUAGGAUAUGAUGAUUUAAAUAAAGAUUGCAUCAAUGCCCACAAUCAAGGAACCAAACUAAAAUUGUUGACAGGAAUGGAAAAAGACUGUCUGAACUAUCCCCACACCUCUAUUCCUGCCCCAAUGACCUCACUUACUGUAAUGUUUCAAACAGUUUAACUGCCACAGACUUUCACACACACCCCCCAAAAAAAAUAAUCACAGAGUGAGAGGAAGCAAAAGUUACAAAUAAUGGACUAUACUGGAUGUCUUCACUUAGCCAUCCCAGAGGCCCAGGACUAUGAAGCUUCUUUUACUGAUAAAUUCCUCCUUUAAUACAUGGUGCUUAGUUUGUUUAAACAUAAAGCACUACAUUUUCAGUAUGACUUCUUAAACUCAUGCUAGGCUGUCUCAGAUUUCCCUGCCAGUGCUUUCCCCAGCUAGGGACUCUCAAAGUAGCAGAACUCUCAUUUCUCCCUUUCAGAACUGGCUAGACUAACCAGAGAGCCACUCCUCAGUGUCAGGCCUAUGGCCAGGAUACGUCACAGAAAGAACUCAGUCACUGCAAACAUGCUCUGGGUGCAUAUCUUUCCACAGAAUGAAAGUCUGGCCCAUAAAAGAUAGUGGGGAGAAUUCAUGUAGUGAAGCUCUAAAUUCAAUCAUCUCAGUCUCCACUACAACAUCAGAAGCAACUGAAGGAGUUAUAUAUGAAGACUUCUUGAUGGCUGUUUCAUACUGGCUUACCAGUAUUGACUGCGACUCUCUCAUACCCUGCAUGGAUACCAAAUCAUCAUUUCAGGCUUCCUCCAUUUUUCUUGAAGUUAGAAACUCUGUUUGAACCUAAGAAAUUAACCAGAAGAUAGGUAGGACUAAGGAAUUAUGAUGCCUAUACUAAUAAGAGAAAAAUAAAUAUCGUCAUGCCUCUCAGAGCUGAUAAAAUCUAUUUGUGUUCAAAGUAUUAAGAGACCAUGUGAGGCAUACAGUUGGGAAGAGACAUGACAUGACUGCAGCAGUUUUUACUCUGUAUUGAGCUUAAAUAUCCUGUGAACCUAGUGGCCUUUCAGUUGGAAACACUCUGUUUAUUCUUUUUGGCCUGAGAAGCCAGCAUUCACAGCAAUUCACAGCAAGUCAUACGACUGAGCUGAUAUUUGCACUUCAUCAUCAUAAGUCAGGAAGGAUGACUCCACUUCCCGAUUGCCAAAUUUACCAUAAAUCCCAAAAAGUAACUGUGAAAAACAGAAGUUCCAGGAGCUCAGGUCUUCCCGACAAUUUAUCACAAUGGAAAACCAAAGUAGUUUACCCUUUUCCACACCCACACUCCAAAGGAAAAUAAUAUUCUACCUACUGAUCACAGAGCUCUGCCAGCUGGUCAAACCAUUCUAUUGUUCUACUCUGGAUUGCUUUUCUUGUUGGGUUUUAGUCUUGGAGAAAAUUCAUCACAGAAAAAAAAACCAUGAAAAAAGUUCCCUUUCACUUACGUUCAAAGAACAUAUAUGCUUAGGCCAAUAGGAAGUUUAGACCCAUGAUUAGAGUUUAAUACAGCAUCUUCUCAGAUGGCAAGCUCAGAAAAGACUAGUUUGUCCCACCUGGUCCCUUCAUGAGUCUCCUUACAUAAUUUUCCUUUAAUUACUAUUGCAAAUUAUGGAGCAAUUUGGUAUGGAGCAUGCAUCCACAGGCACUAGAGUAUCUGAGUAUCACACAGACUUGAUAGGAUGCAUGGCAUUCCUAAAUACUUUUAAUUGAAUGUAGAAAAAAAAGAAAAAAAUAUAUCACUUCCUCUGGUAGAAAAUAAACAAUUUAAAACAUAUGCUUUGCUUUUUCAGCUUGAAUACUCCAAUGCAUGAAGAUCAGCAUCUUUGGGAAUUCCUGUUUCUGGCCACUGUGGGACAGAAAGUGAAGCAUGCAUGUUUCAUGCUUGCAUGUUUAACCCACAAUAAGAUUUCUACAAAUGUAUGCAUCGUAUAAUAGCCACAUAUCCAUCCAGAUUCUGUCCCUUAUUACAAGGCUGGAGCUUCCUGAAGCUUGGUUGAAGCCAUCCCUCAACUCCAACUAAAUAAACAGCUAAUUAUAGCCAUAUAAUGAUGAGUGACAGACUUGCAAAGGAAGACUAUUGAAAAAAAAAUAAAAUUAGUGGAUAAAUAAACGCUCAAUUUCACUGAGAAAGCAUUCAGUUUUAUUGCAAGCUGUUGACUCAGUAUUUUAAUACUGAACAGAAAUGGCAUGUGGA